ACAUGAGGAAGUCCCUGGGGUCCGUGACGUACCCCGUCAGGGCCGAGGCUGCAGCGGUGUAGGGGGACGCCAGGUAGAUCUGCCCUUCCUUGUGCCCCAUCCUGCCCGGGAAGUUCCUGUUCGUGGUGGACACGCAGACCUGCACAUCCAGGUUACCAGAUCCAUCACUCAUCAAACCCACACAUGACACAUGUCAACAUACUAGAAUUCCAGAGCACUUGCUGUUUUCCUUCACAGACUCGCGGACUUCAACCAAUGGCAAAACAUCUACGAAACUUGUAGUUUCAACUGCCUUUCCAUCGCAUCUAUAGUAACAUACUAAUUUGUGCACUAGAACCACAGUUACCACCAUGCCUGUUGUAUGGAAAUGCUUCUAGAUGUGUGUAAGAUACCCACCGUAGGUUCAUUCAUCCGUGCAUACGUAUCGCGAGGGCCACCCAGACAAGCGCCGCAAUUAGGACUUGCUGGUGUAUCACAACCAGCCUCCUCG
rnacentral:lncRNA from 1 species